UCUCUCUGAAUCUGCGAACGGCUCCGCAAACCAGUUGUAAACAUAGGCAUGUCCCGCCCUUGGUUGGCCCUUUCGGGGGCUGGCCAGGGGCAAAUAUAUGGAUACCCGUGGUAAUUCUGAGGCUAAUACAUGACAAUGCGACCCUGCCAUCGGGCUGCUGGUGCCUCUCGGGGCGCUGGCGGUCUGGUGGCGGGGGACGCGCGAGACUAGGCUGGGUAAUUCGGGAAAGAACGCGCGUUCAGACCACCGUUAAGGGCCUUGCGUAGUGGGGUGCGGCUUGCCGUGCUUCGCUUGCUUGGCCUGGUGGCUCCUGCUUCGUGCUUCUGACCUAUCAACUAGAUGGCAGCGUACGGGACAUGCCAUGGUGACAACGGGUACAGAGGAUCAGGGUUCGAUCCUGGAGAGUGGGCCUGAGAGAUU
rnacentral:rRNA from 1 species